CGCAGACGCCCUUGGCCCUUCCAGGUGAGGAACUGGCUUAGAGCUGCGGCUUCUCCUCCUGGAAGGUGCAAGCGCUCGGGCCCAGACGCUGCCGGAGGAGAGCCGAGCUGCCAGCCAUGUGCAGAGGCCGGACCUCCAGGGCCUCCACGCGGCCACCUCGCGUGACUCGUGUGUUCACCUGGACCCGCGUGCUUCUGGAGGAGUGGCGCGAUGUCCCGGCCUAAGUCUUGCAAAUUGCACUCCACGUUGCCCGCCGAUUCUUCUCACGGUCGGAUUUGUCUCAGAGAUUCUCGCAGCGCACACGUGAAGGUAGUUUCAUCCCAGAUUUGUUUGAAAACGAACAAGUGGAAGUAUUUUAAACGGGCAACGAUAGAUGUUUGAAUUAUGUGUGUAAGGGACGGAAGCCUUUGGAACUGUUACCUUAAAUGUAUAUUCGAUGACAUACAAAGAUAUCUUUAACCCAUAUAAAUAAAAGCGGUUAUAACACAGCCUUUAGAGAGUAUCACCUUAUUGUCACCUUUUGAGUGCAAUAUAUGUAUCCUAAGCUGUUAUAUAUUCACAACAAACGGUUAAGCGUUGAUUUCACUGGGCUAUAGGACCACAGGUGGUUUUUUCCUCACAUAGUGAUAGUUUCUCGUGUUAAUAAAGUGUAUCGGUUAAGAUCAA